GAUAAACGCUGGCGGCGCACAUAAGACAUGCAAGUCGAACGGACGACUUUAACUUGUUUUACUUGUUAAAGAAGUUAGUGGCGGACUGGUGAGGAACACGUAAAUAAUCUGCCUAUAAGAGGGGAACAACAGUGAGAAAUCACUGCUAAUACCGCAUAAUUCAUAUUGCUCGCAUGAACAGUAUGGAAAAGGAGCAAUCCGCUUAUAGAUGAGUUUGCGUCUGAUUAGCUAGUUGGUGUGGUAACGGCAUACCAAGGCGACGAUCAGUAGCCGUGCUGAGAGGCAGAACGGCCACAUUGGGACUGAGAUACGGCCCAGACUCCUACGGGAGGCAGCAGUCGGGAAUAUUGCGCAAUGGAGGAAACUCUGACGCAGUGACGCCGCGUAUAGGAAGAAGGUUUUCGGAUUGUAAACUAUUGUAGACAGGGAAGAUACAAGACAGUACCUGACUAAGAAGCCCCGGCUAACUACGUGCCAGCAGCCGACGG
rnacentral:rRNA from 1 species